rnacentral:RNase_P_RNA from 1 species
AGAGUGGGUCAGAUGGUCGCGUGUGCAAGCAUGAGGAAAGUCCGGACUCCACAGGGCAGGAUGCCAGCUAACGGCUGGGCGGGGUGACCCGACGGAAAGUGCCACAGAAAAGAAAACUCCCCUACUCGCAAGAGCCUUAAAGGAUCUUGUCGUUAGGAGAAAAGCUGAAACGGUGCGGUAAGAGCGCACCAGCGUCACGGCAACGUGACGGCUUGGCAAACCCCAUCCGGAGCAAGUGCAAAUAGGGACGCCAUGGGUUGCCCGGCCCGCGUCCGGGUUGCUCGCUAGAGGGCGUUGGCAACAGCGCUCCCAGAUAAAUGACCAUCCUCGACAGAAUCCGGCUUAUCGGCCCACUCUGGGU